GUCCACGCCCUAAACGAUGUCUACUAGUUGUCGGGUCUUAAUUGACUUGGUAACGCAGCUAACGCGUGAAGUAGACCGCCUGGGGAGUACGGUCGCAAGAUUAAAACUCAAAGGAAUUGACGGGGACCCGCACAAGCGGUGGAUGAUGUGGAUUAAUUCGAUGCAACGCGAAAAACCUUACCUACCCUUGACAUGUACAGAAUGCCGAAGAGAUUUGGCGGUGCUCGCAAGAGAACUGUAACACAGGUGCUGCAUGGCUGUCGU
rnacentral:rRNA from 1 species